UCUAGACCGGCUGGAGCAAAGUCUGUCAGACAGAGGGUUUCUGCAGAGAAUGGUGAACAGAUUAUCCAUCAGCGGCGGGCCGACAAUGAAGAAGACCGUCUGGAGAAUCUGCUCCAAGGUCUUCAGCACUGAUGUCGCCCGCCAGCUGAACUGGUGUGGGAGAGGAGACCAGCGGGGAUCAGAAAGACAAACAUCGGGUCACUGUUAACCGCUUCAGCCAUGAGGAAUCCCGUCCUGCCGUCUCCAACGGAAGCAGAGGCGGAGAAAUAUAUCAAAGAUUUUCUUCGCUUGGCUCCAGGGAGGGUGUAAUUGUUUAUUUAAAUUAAAUGUAUGUUAUUGUAAGUGUAUUGUUUUGUUUGAAAUAUAUGUUAUGGCGUUAUGUUAAUGGAUUUUUAUAAUUAAUUAAAAGUUGUAAUCAAUAUAAUGAAUUAGAAAUACGUUUUUUUUUUUUGCCUAAUAAAUAUUUUUAAAAUCAUCAACAAAUGCGUGUUUUAUUGUAGGUUCAGAACAGCGUGGUUAUUUAACGUUAUUUAAUCGUGAAGAUGUGUAAUGGCUGGAUUUUGUGAGUUAAUUUUAUUAAUGGGAGGAAUUAUAUCUUAAAACGAUGUCUGGGCUACAUAAAUCAGAUGUCUUGCAGCCGUAUAAACAUCUGAUAAACGUCUUUAAAAGAGCGGAUUGCCGACGUCCUGAAUUAUUAACGUCUUCUAGACAUCGCCUAGACGUCGUUCUGACAGCAGGGACGCCUCGCCCUAAAAUAUACGUCUUCCAGAUGAAAAUGAGUCGUCGCACAGAUGUCUGCACUAUCUGGGUGCUGAAUUCAGGCAAGACGUUUCAAGCUUCAUGAAAACAUCAUAAUAUCGAAGUUUUCCAUCAUUCUUUCUAAUUUUGAACAAUGAUCAAGCGCCACUGACACUUUAUUUCUUUUAAAUCAUUUUACUUCUUUUAAUCAGUAAUGUUUGUGAACGACAGUACGCUUUUUACCUCGAGUCGAUCAUGAUCGUCGAGCUCCGUGUUUGACAUCAGAAGUUGUAGUA